UACAGAGGGUGCAAGCGUUGUUCGGAAUUAUUGGGCGUAAAGGGUGCGUAGGCGGGCAGGUAAGUCAGUGGUGAAAUCUUUGGGCUUAACCCGAAAACUGCCAUUGAUACUAUCUGUCUUGAAUAUUGUGGAGGCCAGCGGAAUAUGUCAUGUAGCGGUGAAAUGCUUAGAUAUGACAUAGAACACCUAUUGCGAAGGCAGCUGGCUACGCAUAUAUUGACGCUGAGGCACGAAAGCGUGGGGAUCAAACAGG
rnacentral:rRNA from 1 species